rnacentral:pre_miRNA from 1 species
ACAACAUUUGGACGGUCGGUCUACCGAGCAAUAUCACCCGCUCGGUGGAAGAUCUCGUGGCCU